rnacentral:miRNA from 7 species
UGUCAUAUGUGUGAUGACACUUU